rnacentral:rRNA from 1 species
UACGGAGGGGGCUAGCGUUGUUCGGAAUUACUGGGCGUAAAGCGCACGUAGGCGGAUCUUUAAGUCAGGGGUGAAAUCCUGGAGCUCAACUCCAGAACUGCCUUUGAUACUGAGGGUCUUGAGUUCGGGAGAGGUGAGUGGAACUGCGAGUGUAGAGGUGAAAUUCGUAGAUAUUCGCAAGAACACCAGUGGCGAAGGCGGCUCACUGGCCCGAUACUGACGCUGAGGCGCGAAAGCGUGGGGAGCAAACAGG